rnacentral:tRNA from 1 species
GCCUUCGUGGUGUAGUGGUUAGCACGCUCGACGCGUAUUCGAGAGGUCCGUGGUUCGAAACCUAGCGAAGGCG